UGCUAAACAACAUAAUGUGAGUGUGUUAUCAUGAUGCUAACCAGGCCUGUGUUUGUAUUUCUUCCUAGGCUCAAGUGUGUGGUUGUGAGAUCAUCUCGAAAUCCUUUUAACAGUUCAGGAACAACGUGAUGUAAAUAUGAGACGGGCCCUCGUCCUUCGUGCACUUCCUGUGUACCUGCGUGAAGAUGCCUCCAAGUUUUUCAGGACCUGUAAUUCAGCAGAUGGUCCAGACCUCACUGACACUCCGGUGGCUCUCCUGACAGUUGUCACUGAUGAUACUACUGAUGCGGCCCUCUUCAGCCCUGAGAGCAUCUGUAUUGUCGUGGAAGAUGAAAUACUUGUGAGUGGUCCCACAAACCUGGCUGACUCAUUUCUCCUGCUCUUUGGGUAUGUCUAUGCACUAGACCUACAGUACCCAAAGAAUCUCGAGCUUACAUUCACAUUUAUCCAAAAAGUUGUGACGUGUCUUGAGGACAACAAACCACUGAAAGGGCGUCUACUGACACUGAAGAAUGAUUUGUUCAAUGAGUGAAUCACUCAGAAUGGACUAUUUGUUGAGCUGAGUAUUGAGGAUGUUUUUUGUUUUUUUCCCCUCUUUACAAAUGUAAUAAUUUGCCUCUUCUACCUCAUGUUUAAUAUGUUACACUGUUUGCCUCUCCUACCUCAGAUUUAAUACAUUGAUUGUUAAUAGAUAAAUAUCACAACAUUGACGUAUUGCCAAGCCCAAGUUUUUGUACUGUACUUGUGGGAAACGACUGUUGAAUUCAUGCACUAUACAUGUUUAAUGUAGUGUGACCUAAUGCUUA